UUGAGUGUGAUUUAUUUCAUUCUAUGCACCACACACACACACACAUAUAUAUACUUGUGGGUAUCUGACUUCGUAGGAAUCUGUCGCUUAAUCCAGCUACCCAGAAGUGUAGGAGGUUGCAGCUGCUGCCUGCUUAUCUGACUUACGGGGAUUCAUUAUUGAGUGAUCUGGAAGCUGCCCACUCUAAGGAAUAGACUAAGAUACGUAUAUAAAAUGGUCAUGUGAACACAAUUCAUUAUGAUUCCCUCACUGCAGACCUCAUAAUAAUUUUAAUUUUCUUGAAUGGUAAGCCUUUUUUCUUUAUUCAUUUAUUUUUUAAAAAGAAAAUUGAUUAUAAAAGCCGCUUUCAAUAUCAACAAAAUUUUGCAAAUCAAAACAGACUGCAAAGUUAAUUUAUAUAAAUUAGUAUAUCUCCAAAUUAGCCCUUUAUUUAGUUUGACGUCACUAAUGACGUUGUUACGUCAGCAAUGACUACUUUCUUUCCCCUCUUGAAGGUUCUACUUUUCUCUCUGUAACCAUUUCACGUCAGCAAUGACGUCAUAUUAUUUAUUUGUUUUUCCUUUCCAUGAAAAAUCUUUUCGAGUCAAGCCAACCCCUUUGAAAAAUAGGUAUUAUACGCAUUUUCUUCUUUUACAAAUGGCAUAUUCUCAUUUUGUUUGACAAUUAUGGGAUACCCGAAUUUGAUUUUGUUUAUUACGUUUUUCAAUUAUUACUUUUAUUUCUUUUCAUACAAAGAUUUAUACCUCAAACAUCAUUCAUUUUAUUCAACAAUCAUAAAAUUAAUUAGGCUUUUUUUUUUCUAAUCUAGUAUUUAAACUAAUCUUUUGUAUUUUUGUUAA